rnacentral:rRNA from 1 species
CACUAGUGAUUCUCCUGGAAACGGGUGGUAAUGCCGGAUGCUCCGGUUGGAUGCAUGUCCUUCCGGGAAAGAUUUCAUCGGUAUGGGAUGGGGUCGCGUCCUAUCAGGUAGUCGGCGGGGUAACGGCCCACCGAGCCUACGACGGGUAGCCGGCCUGAGAGGGCGACCGGCCACAUUGGGACUGAGAUACGGCCCAGACUCCUACGGGAGGCAGCAGUGGGGAAUAUUGCACAAUGGGCGCAAGCCUGAUGCAGCGACGCCGCGUGCGGGAUGACGGCCUUCGGGUUGUAAACCGCUUUUGAUCGGGAGCAAGCCUUCGGGUGAGUGUACCUUUCGAAUAAGCACCGGCUAACUACGUGCCAGCAGCCGCGGUAAUACGUAGGGUGCAAGCGUUAUCCGGAAUUAUUGGGCGUAAAGGGCUCGUAGGCGGUUCGUCGCGUCCGGUGUGAAAGUCCAUCGCUUAACGGUGGAUCCGCGCCGGGUACGGGCGGGCUUGAGUGCGGUAGGGGAGACUGGAAUUCCCGGUGUAACGGUGGAAUGUGUAGAUAUCGGGAAGAACACCAAUCGAAUUC